UACGUAGGGUGCAAGCGUUGUCCGGAAUUAUUGGGCGUAAAGAGCUCGUAGGCGGCUUGUCACGUCGACUGUGAAAACCCGGGGCUCAACUCCGGGCCUGCAGUCGAUACGGGCUGGCUUGAGUGCGGUAGGGGAGACUGGAAUUCCUGGUGUAGCGGUGAAAUGCGUAGAUAUCUGGAGGAACACCGGUGGCGAAGGCGGCAUUCUGGACCGAUAUUGACGCUGAGGAGCGAAAGCCAGGGGAGCAAACGGG
rnacentral:rRNA from 1 species